CAUUUUUAGAGCCUUAUAACUGAAAACGUUUUUUAUGGGAUUAAAUAGGUUAAUAUCAGAUUUUUUUCACAAUUUAUGUGAUAGGUAGUUCACUUGCUUAAGCACUAUUUUAUCUUAAUAAUUUGCUGUCUUACUGCAUAUUGACAUGCAUAUUGGUAUUAUGUUAGCUAGCACAACAGCUAAGGUACUGUAGCUAGCAACAAUAUGAGUUGAUUUGACAUAAGAGCAAAACUUUACUUUUGUAGAUGGAUACACUUCCCAUACCCGUGGUGUCGGGAGAGGCUGUAUUGGCAGGUUGGGUUGUUGUUGAUGAUGGGUAAUUGAGGUUGGCCUAUGGAUAUUUGACCCAGCCAGUUGGUUAAUUCUCCCGCCACCAGCGCGUGAAAUCCACUAGGAUAUUUGCAAGUGUUCUAGUGCAACCGAGUGACUGACGAGGGGAAAACGGAUAACGUUAUUGCGACAUGCUAAAUUUGUAAAGAUAUUCUGAAUGAGUGGAACCUGGCCUCAUUGCUUCCAAAAUUUGAGGGAUGAUCACGGGGUGAACAGGCCUUGAUCCGGGUGGCUGAGGUCCUUGGUGAUCUUCUUGUCCAUCCUGUGACACCGGGUGCUGUAGAUGUCCUGAAGGGCAUGAGUUGGACUGCAGAGUGAAGGAACAGCAGCCAAUAAGUGCUCAGCAUAUGUGGAAACUCCUAAGACUGUUGGACACAUUCCAGGUGAAGCUGGUUAAGAGAAUGCGAAGAGUGUGCAAAACUGUCAAGGCAAUGGGUGGCUACUUUUGAUGUUAUUUUUUAUUUUUUUUUAUUUUUUUACUACAUGAUUCCAUAUGUUAUUUCUUAGUUCUGAUGUCUUCGGUAUUGUUCUACAAUGUGGAAAAUAGUUUAAAAAAGAAACCCUUGAAUGAGUAGGUGUGUCUAAACCUUUGACUAGCACUGUGUGUGUGUGUGUUCUAAAUUAACCUACUAAAACUCACAGACGAUUAGUAAAGCUUAAACCAAGUUUAUUCACCAAUUGUCAUACAGCUCCAUAAGACAAAUACAUGGUUUCACAAGUGGG